CCUACGUGAGGCAGCAGUCGAGAAUCAUUCACAAUGGGGGAAACCCUGAUGGUGCGACGCCGCGUGGGGGAAUGAAGGUCUUCGGAUUGUAAACCCCUGUCAUGUGGGAGCAAAGUAAAAAGUUAGUACCAUAAGAGGAAGAGACGGCUAACUCUGUGCUAGCAGCCGCGGUAAUACAGAGGUCUCAAGCGUUGUUCGGAAUCACUGGGCGUAAAGCGUGUGUAGGCUGUUUCGUAAGUCGGGUGUGAAAGGCGCGGGCUCAACCCGCGAACGGCACAUGAUACUGCGAGACUAGAGUAAUGGAGGGGGAACCGGAAUUCUCGGUGUAGCAGUGAAAUGCGUAGAUAUCGGGAGGAACACUCGUGGCGAAGGCGGGUUCCUGGACAUUAACUGACGCUGAGGCACGAAGGCCAGGGGAGCGAAAGGGAUUAGAUACCCGGGUAGUC
rnacentral:rRNA from 1 species